UGUAGGGGAGGUGGGUGUGUGUGUGUGGGGGGGGGGUACACUGUGAUCCACACUCACCCCAGUAUUUGUGUGGGAAACUGAAAGUGUGUGUUUUUUUGUGGUUUGAAAAGCUGCAGUGUGUGUCCAUACUGUGUCAGUCUGGUUCUGUCCAGGCCGCAGCUGCUCAGAUCUGCUCUGGAUCCUGGACUCUACAAGUGUGACAGCCCAAGGCCUGGAGCAGGACUCAAGGACACCCGGAUUUGGCCAGUGAAUCCCGUUCCUCCUGGCACAUCCUCUCCGCACUUCCGUCAGACUGAAUGGGAAGCGUGUGUGAACUGCCAUCAUCAGGUCUCCUCGCAGAUGUUUCUGUAAGGCUCAUAAUAAAGUCUGGACUUUGUCGGCACGGGCCACUCAAGGACAGUCGGGAACCAUAAAAGUCCUGAAGACACGUGAGUCUUGUUGCGUUCGAUUACAAGCUCAGGUUUCCUGUGAAAACCUCACAUGAUUUAGGAUUGGGGUUUAUUUUUUUUAUGCAUUGUUGCCGUUGCUGAUCCGCUCCCAUCCAGGCGAGCCUUCGGGGGUUCUAGAAGCUCUGGAGGGUCUGUGGGACUCAUUUAGCCUGAUAGCAUGCUACCAACCAUGCAAUAUCUCCUUGCUGCACAACAAACAACCACACUGGUUUGACCUGAACUGAAUUUUUCUACCUCUUCUCUCUUGAAUACAGCAACACUGACCUACCUACUGUACCUACUACUCCUGGUUGUCCAUGAGAGGUCAGACGGAGCCAAAGAGCAUCAGUGUGAGACAUCAUCUCACAGCUGGUGCACAGAUGGCUGGAGCUGAUACACACUGGCAUGACACUCUCUCAUCCGCACUGUGUAUACGUCGAGAAAGAAGGGGCCAGAGCCAAGGCAGCUGCUAACUGCAGUGUCUGUUGUUGUAGAAAUGUCUGUUUUUGCCCUGAUUAUCAUCAAACACUGGGCUCCACACUAAACCGGUGCAAUGUUAAUGUUGAUACAAAGACAAACUGCAAACACAGAGGUGGUAAUGUGUUUCUAACCACAUGGCCCUGUGUCAUUUGUUCACGUGAGGAUUUAUGGAUGAGUUUUAUGAGGAAUAAAAAUGAGAAUUUAAAGUAGCCGUGACAUGCUAGUGGGGGAAGUACAUAUAAACAAACCAAAAAAAAAGAGGAAAGAUACAAAGAGCGGGACAGCUAGCAGAUCAGUUAGGUUAGCUCAAAUCAACUACAAAUAAGUAGCUAGUAACAAAAUAGCCAAAGCAGUAGUUGUAGUAGUAAUAGUAGUAGUAGUAGUAGUAGUAGUAGUAAUAGUAGUAGUAGUAGUAGUAGUAGUAGUGCAAUAUAACUUUAAAAAAGUGAACAAUCUGAGUUAGCUUGUGUAUGUGUAAACAUAAGUGUAGGCAAAGCAAAUGCUAAAUCAAGCAAAGAGAAUAUAUAAGAAACUUAUAGAAAUA